rnacentral:rRNA from 1 species
UACGUAGGGGGCUAGCGUUGUCCGGAAUCAUUGGGCGUAAGCGCGUGUAGGCGGCCCGGUAAGUCCGCUGUGAAAGUCCAGGGCUCAACCCUCGAAUGCCGGUGGAUACUGUCGGGCUAGAGUGCGGGAGAGGCGAGUGGAAUUCCGUGGUGUAGCGGUGAAAUGCGCAGAUAUCAGGAGGAACACCAAUUGCGAAGGCAGCUCGCUGGAACGUAACUGACGCUGAGACGCGAAAGCGUGGGGAGCAAACAGGG